GAUGAAGAACGCAGCGAAACGCGAUAAGUAAUGUGAAUUGCAGAAUUCAGUGAAUCAUCGAGUCUUUGAACGCACAUUGCGCCCCCUGGCAUUCCGGGGGGCAUGCCUGUCCGAGCGUCAUUGCUGCCCUUCAAGCCCGGCUUGUGUGUUGGGUCGUCGUCCCCCCCGGGGGACGGGCCCGAAAGGCAGCGGCGGCACCGCGUCCGGUCCUCGAGCGUAUGGGGCUUUGUCACCCGCUCGAUUAGGGCCGGCCGGGCGCCAGCCGGCGUCUCCAACCUUCUAUUUUACCAGGUUGACCUCGGAUCAGGUAGGGAUACCCGCUGAACUUAAGCAUAUCAAUAAGCGGAGGA
rnacentral:misc_RNA from 1 species